rnacentral:rRNA from 1 species
AUUGAACGCUGGCGGCAGGCUUAACACAUGCAAGUCGAACGAGUGGCGGACGGGUGAGUAACGCGUGGGAAUCUGGCUUAUGGAGGGGGAAAAAUACGGGAAACUGUAGCUAAUACCGCGUACCAUAGGAUGAGCCAAUGUGGGAUUAGGUAGUUGGUGAGUGAAAGGCUAACCAAGCCGACGAUCUCUAGCUGGUGUGAGGGGAUGACCAGCCACACUGGAACUGAGACACGGCCCAGACUCCUACGGGAGGCAGCAGUGGGGAAUAUUGCGCAAUGGGGGCAACCUGACGCAGCCAUGCCGCGUGAAUGAAGAAGGCCUUCGGGUUGUAAAGUUCUUUCGGUAGGGAGGCGUUAACUACAGAAGAAGCACCGGCUAACUCCGUGCCAGCAGCCGCGGUAAUAC